CUUCUCUGUAUACAUCAAUGAUGUCGCUCUUGCUGCUGGUGAUUCUCUGAUCCACCUCUACUCAGACGACACCAUUCUGUAUGCUUCUGGCCCCUCUUUGGACACUGUGUUAACUAACCUCCAGACGAGCUUCAAUGCCAUACAACUCUCCUUCCGUGGCCUCCAACUGCUCUUAAACGCAGGUGCAGUCAGGAUCCAUAUCAGCGUUGCACAGGCUGUGUUUACCUGUAAACCUCUGGCCUGCUGGAAGGUUACACAGGUUAUGUCGGAGAGCCAGAGAGCACGCGGGGACCGCAUGAUGAGCAACGACAGAGAAAGGCACGAUCAGAAGAGAAAGAAAAAAAAUGGCUUUCCAUGAGUGGUACCGGAUCCUGGCGAAUGGGUUCCAGAACGAAACAGUCCGGAACAGAGAGGUGCUGGUUCCUGUUCCGACAGGCUCAAAUGAAGCACCGCGCAUCAUCGUCUGGAAAGCCAUUUGGUUGAGGGAG
rnacentral:lncRNA from 1 species